UCCGUAGGUGAACCUGCGGAAGGAUCAUUACCGAGUUGAUUCGGGCUCCGUCCCGAUCCUCCCACCCUUUGUAUACCUACCUCUGUUGCUUUGGCGGGCCGCGGUCUUCCGCGGCCGCCCCCCGAUUUUGGGGGGUGGCUAGUGCCCGCCAGAGGACUAUCAAACUCCAGUCAGUAAACGUUGCAGUCUGAAAAAAAAUAUUAAAUAAACUAAAACUUUCAACAACGGAUCUCUUGGUUCUGGCAUCGAUGAAGAACGCAGCGAAAUGCGAUAAGUAAUGUGAAUUGCAGAAUUCAGUGAAUCAUCGAAUCUUUGAACGCACAUUGCGCCCCUUGGUAUUCCGGGGGGCAUGCCUGUUCGAGCGUCAUUUCAACCCUCAAGCUCUGCUUGGUAUUGGGCACCGUCCUUUGCGGGCGCGCCUCAAAGACCUCGGCGGUGGCGUCUUGCCUCAAGCGUAGUAGAAUACACCUCGCUUCGGAGCGUAAGGCGUCGCCCGCCGGACGAACCUUCUGAACUUUUCUCAAGGUUGACCUCGGAUCAGGUAGGGAUACCCGCUGAACUUAAGCAUAUCAAUAAGCGGAGGA
rnacentral:rRNA from 1 species